AAAAGUACAAAUAAGAUAUUGAGAUUUAAAAGAAAAUAAAUAAUAAAUUGAAAAUGAGAGUAUUUUUGAAAUAUUUUGAAAAAUAAGAAUUUUCUUGUUUAAAAAUUAAACAUUUCAAAAUUUCAACCUUUAAGAUAUAUAGGGAAAACAUCUGGAACGGCCCGUCCGCACGGUGAUCACCGUGCGGACACCGUCCAUUCCGAUUUUCGCCAUCGUUCAUUCCGAUCACCGUUCAUUCCAGAACCGAUUCCCUAACGCGUCGUUCCGAUGCCGGAAUCGCGUCGUUCCGAUUCCGAAAUCGGUUCUGGAAUCGCGGAGGUUCCCCGGAGAAUCAUCUGAACGACGCGGAGGUUCCCCGGAUCGGAGUUCCGCGGAACUCGCGAUGGGUUCGGCGGAACCGAAAUCGAGUUCCGCCGAAUCGCGAUGGGUUCCGCGGAACUCGCGAGGACGAGGACGAGGACGAGGAAUCCGAUGAUGAUGACGAUGGAUAUCAGGAACUUGAAGAGGGAGCAGAGGAUGGAGCAUGGGUUCCGCGAGGGAGCGAUGGGUUCCGCGAGGGAGCGAUGGAUAUCAGAGAGCGAUGGAGCGAUUUCGGUUCCGCGGAACUCGAUGGGUUUUGGAACUCGCGAUGGGUUCCAAAACGAUUAUCUGAAAUUUCGAAACAAAUUUGGGGAGUUAUCAUCCACUCCAUCUCGGUGACCCAAUCUUCGUCGAGAUUUUGAUGUCUGUUGGAGCAGAAUGGUCUCUCCAGAACGAAAUGGAUGGUCUGCACUUUACCUAUUUAUGGGGAGCGAAAUGUGGGGAACGGUGGGCUUGCGUCGAUACUGCCGUGGAUAGGAAAUUGCAGGGUGGAUGAGCGACUGUCCGCACGGUGGAGAAGGAACGGUCAGGGUCGCACCAGAUAUCUACU
rnacentral:lncRNA from 1 species